GAAUUAUGAAAAAAGAGUUGUGUCCGAUGCAAUUCAAAGGAUUUACAUACCAUGUCAGAGGAUUCUGCUAAAACGUUGCUGGAACAUGUGACCGGUUGGGAGGUGAAAAAUGAGGGUGACAUUCUGAAAUUGCACAUGGCAUGGAAGGUGAAGAACUUUGUGAAAGGGCUUGAGUUCUUUCAGCUUGUUGCUGCUGUUGCCGAGGAAGAAGGUCACCACCCAGAUCUUCACCUUGUUGGUCGGAAUAAUGUGAAAAUUGAUGUGUGGACUCACUCAGUCAGCAAGUGUUCCCCACUGUUCCAUAUGGUUAUUUUGAGUUCAGAUUUCACUCUAGGAUUUCACGUAUUACCUCUGUUGAUUUCCGGGAAAAACGGAGCAGCAUUAAUAUAG
rnacentral:rRNA from 1 species